GAUGAACGCUGGCGGCGUGCCUAAUACAUGCAAGUCGAGCGAACGGACGCGGAGCUUGCUUCUCUGACGUUAGCGGCGGACGGGUGAGUAACACGUGGAUACCCUCCCUAUCAGACUGGGAUAACUUCGGGACACCGGAGCUAAUACCGGAUAAUAUUUUGAACCGCAUGGUUCAAAAGUGAAAGACGGUCUUGCUGUCACUUAUAGAUGGUUCCGCGCUGCAUUAGCUAGUUGGUAAGGUAACGGCUUACCAAGGCAACGAUGCAUAGCCGACCUGAGAGGGUGAUCGGCCACACUGGAACUGAGACAGCGUCCAGACUCCUACGGGAGGCAGCAGUAGGGAAUCUUACGCAAUGGGCGAAAGCCUGACGGAGCAACGCCGCGUGAGUGAUGAAGGCCUUCGGAGCGUAAAACUCUGUUACGAGGGAAGAACAUAUGUGUAAGUAACUGUGCACAGCGUGACGGUACCUAAUCAGAAAGCCACGGCUAACUACGUG
rnacentral:rRNA from 1 species